rnacentral:rRNA from 1 species
AUUGAACGCUGGCGGCAGGCCUAACACAUGCAAGUCGAGCGGUAGCACAGAGAGCUUGCUCUCGGGUGACGAGCGGCGGACGGGUGAGUAAUGUCUGGGAAACUGCCUGAUGGAGGGGGAUAACUACUGGAAACGGUAGCUAAUACCGCAUAACGUCGCAAGACCAAAGUGGGGGGCCUUCGGGCCUCAUGCCAUCAGAUGUGCCCAGAUGGGAUUAGCUGGUAGGUGGGGUAACGGCUCACCUAGGCGACGAUCCCUAGCUGGUCUGAGAGGGUGACCAGCCACACUGGAACUGAGACACGGUCCAGACUCCUACGGGAGGCAGCAGUGGGGAAUAUUGCACAAUGGGCGCAAGCCUGAUGCAGCCAUGCCGCGUGUGUGAAGAAGGCCUUCGGGUUGUAAAGCACUUUCAGCGGGGAGGAAGGCGGUGAGGUUAAUAACCUCAUCGAUUGACGUUACCCGCAGAAGAAGCACCGGCUAACUCCGUGCCAGCAGCCGCCGUAAUAC